UCCCUCUAAAUCAUAAAUCAUGUUACAUAAAAAGCCACUUUUUUCCAUGCACUACCCCAAAACUUCAUAUGUAAUUACACAUUCUGCCACCAGAAAACUACUACGCUCAGCUUGAUGCUCCAAGCAAUACAAUUAAAAAAUAAACACCUCAUCUGUUCUGACAUAUCACGUGUCCAAACUUCCUAAAUUAACAUAACAUUGCUCAGCACCAAGCUCUUGCACAGGACAACUACCUUCCGCUUUGAACAUAAGCUGCAGAGUCUCUACCAUUCUAAGCAUCUUUUGUUGUCUCAUUCUCAAAACCGAAAGAAACAAGAUUCAAUUUCGGCUUCUCCCCCGAUGCAGCAUCUGCUUUAUUUCUUCUUGUGUAAAUACUUGAAGGUUUGUUUCGAUUUGAAAUUCAAAUUGAAUUGCAUGAAAUUUCCUUCUUCAUUUCUUCACAAUUCUCCUCAUUUGUCUCCCUUUUUUUCACUAUUAUCACAAAGCUCUCUGAAUCGAUGAAAGAGGUAUCUUACAAUCAUCUAAACCUUGAUAGCUUUCCAUCUUUUGCUCGUGAAGGCGUUUCUGGCUUGAGGGGAAUGGCAUCUAGGUCUGUUGUUGAUAAAAGAAGGCAAAAAAAAUUCAUUUCCUCUUCAAACCCCCGCACUAAAAUCUUCAUUUUUGGGGUAUGGACUUGCCGGAGAGUUGUGUGGCCUCUGUUCUUGAGUACAUGGACCACAAGAGAUCUAUAAAGUGGUUGUUCUUAAUAGGGCUUUUCGGAGAGCAUCCUAUGCUGAUUUUAUUCGUCUGAUCUGAAUUGAUUUAUUAAGGAGUGGAGGGCUCAGGCAUAUUGAAAGGUUUCAGACUAUACGUUUUAUUUCAAGAAGCGAUGACUACCUAACAUUCCACAACACAUUCGUCUUCCCCGGGAUGACAACCUUCCACUUUGAAGAUAAGCUGCAGAGUGUAGCUUCAGAAAUUCAACUUUAUGGAACAUCAACCUCGUGUACUGGAGGUAAUAUACAUUUGUAUAUGUACUUUCGCUUCUUUUUCCAACUACAUAAAACUGUGUCUGUUGACAGUUGAGACUUGAGACUCCUUUUACUCUGGAUGAACAACCAAGUUAUUGUCCAUAAUGUCACAAUAAUCACUCAUUUUGAUUUUCCAAACUCAGAUGGGAUUGAUCCUGGUUAGUUUCGUUGAUUACAAAUCAACGGUAGUUGAGACACCAGUCAAUGACUCAAAUGUAGCUUGACUAGCAGCAUAAAUGCGCACUGCUCAAGAUAAGGCCGUAAUUUGCACUAUUACCCUUUGUUCAACAGUGCUCAAAUAUGUAUGUUUGUGGAAUCUUUUCAUUAUGUUUUCUAAUUUCAGUUCUGUUUCGAAAUUAGUGAUUUGUUAGUAUGUUGGUGUGAGUAUUGUUGAGCUAUUUUGUGGUAUUUUGGUGCUAUGAAAAUGGAAUAUAUUGUGGCUUUUGGUUUGGUGGGAUGAAAUUAUUUGAUGUUUUGAUGUAGAUUUUAUCUGAUAUGUGUUAAUUUAAGAUUAUUUAUGUUAAGAUUAUCAAUAGUUAAUUGUUAACUAGAACAGAGUGGUUAUAUCCCAAAUUUAUUAGUACUUUUUCUUCCAUUUUUCAUUAUUAGUUCAGUUAAUGCUGGAACGAAAAAUGAUUAAGCAUGAUAUAAGUUUAUCUGAAACAAGAACACACGUUACUCAAACUUUCUUACAAAUAAUAAUUAUAUAUAAAAAGAUCAUUACAUAUAUUGGAGUUGGGCAAUUUAGGAUAAUACAAAACUGAUGUGAUUUUGUUUUUCCUUCUAUAUAAACUCAUUUAUUUGAUAUAUUGUUUACAAUUGCUUUGUUUCUUAAGGAAUGUCUAAAUGCUUAUUAUGUACAUUAUUUUGUUCACUGUUUACAACUAGCAUUGAUUGGAGCAGUCGAAAAACAAGAUUUUAUUUGGAAUUUCUUCUCUUUGGUGUCUCUAAUAUUGUGUAUAUUGUCAGUGGUUUUUCUAAAUGCUUGGUAGAGUUGCAGACUACACAUGGGAUUGAGGUUGAUAAUUCUGUAGCUAGAGGAGAACGGUGAGGCUGGUACAGAGCUUAAUCAGAUUAGAAAUUUACAACGCGCUAGAUCUACCAAGUGGAGCUCUUACUUUAACUCUGUUUGUGGCUUGAUUAAUAAGUAUAUGCAAUAAUUGUUGUGUUGGAGAAUAUAUUUAGAUAGUACUUAUUCCAACUCUAUGCGGGGAGAAGUUAGAGGUUUUCUAAGGACACUGAAAUCAUUUAACUUUCUAUUUGUACUACACUUGAUGCAUAAGAUUAUGGGCAUUACGGAUUUGCUUUGCCGAGUCUUACAAACUAAGUCAAUCGAUAUUUUGGAUGCCAUGGAAUUAGUUACAUUUUAAAUAUGUAAUAUCAGUGUGCCAGCAGUAUAUAACUGAUGUACCAGAAUUGA